UACGUAGGGUGCGAGCGUUGUCCGGAAUUAUUGGGCGUAAAGAGCUUGUAGGCGGUUUGUCGCGUCUGCUGUGAAAAUCCGGGGCUCAACCCCGGACUUGCAGUGGGUACGGGCAGACUGGAGUGUGGUAGGGGAGACUGGAAUUCCUGGUGUAGCGGUGGAAUGCGCAGAUAUCAGGAGGAACACCGGUGGCGAAGGCGGGUCUCUGGGCCUUAACUGACGCUGAGGAGCGAAAGCGUGGGGAGCGAACAGG
rnacentral:rRNA from 1 species